UGGGACCAUGUCAAAUAUGCAGAAACAUUUAUUUAACUUGACUUUGCUGCAAACGAACUUAAGAGGAACACCAAGAAAUGUGAUGACGAAGAAAAGGCUGAAAAGGUCAAGAUUAAAAAGGCCUUUCAGAAAGGCAAUACAGAAUUUGCAAUCAAACAUGCUGAAAAUGCAAUCGACCAGAAAAACCAAGCAAUCAAUUUUUUGAGAAUGAGUGCUAGAAUUGGUGCUGUGGCAGCCAGAGUUCAAACUGAUGUAACAAUGGGCAAGGUAACAAAGUCCAUGGCAGAUGUAGUUAAGUCUAUGUAUGCUACAUUGAGAAGUAUGAAUCUUGAAAAGUUUCUGCCUUGAUGGAUAAAUUUAAACACCAAUUUGAAAUGCUAGACGUUCAAACACAGCAAAUGGAAGACACAAUGAGUAGUUCUUGA